rnacentral:rRNA from 1 species
AGAGAGAGACAUGCGCGCAUAUCAAUAAGCGGAGGAAAAGAAACUAACAAGGAUUCCCCUAGUAACGGCGAGUGAAGCGGGAAGAGCUCAAAUUUGAAAUCUUAAAGGGUUUCCCUUUACGAAUUGUAGUUUAAAGAAGUGUUUUCUGUUGAGGUUUUGGUAAAAGUUCUUUGGAAUAGGACAUCAUAGAGGGUGAGAAUCCCGUAUUUGACCUUUACUUUCAACUUUGUGAUACACUUUCAAAGAGUCGGAUUGUUUGGGAAUGCAGUCCAAAAUGGGUGGUAAAUUUCAUCUAAAGCUAAAUAUUGGCGAGAGACCGAUAGCGAACAAGUACCGUGAGGGAAAGAUGAAAAGAACUUUGAAAAGAGAGUUAAACAGUACGUGAAAUUGUCAAAAGGGAAGCGUUCGACACCAGUGUUGUUUUUCUGAAAAUCAAUUAAAGAACUGUUUAUGCUAAGCUGUUUAGACUUUAUCAGCUAUCUGUUUAGUUUUGAGCUUUUCUUUAAUGCACUUUUCAGUUAACAAGUCAACAUCAAUUUCUUUUGCUGUAAAAAAGCUUGAGGAAGGUGGCUUGAGAUUCGUCUUAAGUGUUUAUAGCCUCUUGCCUAUGCAGUCGGAGAGAUUGAGGUCUGCAGCGUAGAUCCUUCGGGGCUAAAUGCAUUUGUGCUAAGUUAUAGCAUUUUAUAGACAACUUGUUGACUAUGAUUUGUCUUGUAGCUUACUCGCUUAUGUUAUUUUACCUACGCUUAGGAUGUUGACGCAUGAGAUAUACGC